ACGGCGAGUGAAGAGGGAAAAGCCCAAAUUUGUAAUCUGGCUCUUUUAUAGAGUCCGAGUUGUAAUUUUAAGAACUGUUUUCCGUGCUGGACCAUGUACAAGUCUGUUGGAAAACAGCAUCAUUGAGGGUGAAAAUCCCGUACAUGAUAUGGACUACCAGUGCAAUGUGAUACAGUUUCUAAGAGUCGAGUUGUUUGGGAAUGCAGCUCAAAGUGGGUGGUAAAUUCCAUCUAAGGCUAAAUAUAGGUGAGAGACCGAUAGCAAACAAGUACCGUGAGGGAAAGAUGAAAAGAACUUUGGAAAGAGAGUUAACAGUACGUGAAAUUGUUAAAAGGGAAACAUUUGACGUUAGACUUGUUAUUGCUGGUUCAGCCUUUUUAAGGUGUACUCCAGUGAUUAACAGACCAGCAUCAAUUUUUGGGUGUUGUAAAAAAGUCUUGGAAAUGUGGCAGCCUUUGGUUGUGUUAUAGUCCUUGGCAAUGCAAUGCUUAAGAUUGAGGAACGCAGUAAGC
rnacentral:rRNA from 1 species